AUCCGGCUGAGGAGUCCCAAAAUAGGACGAAAUGCGCAUCCUAGAU
rnacentral:hammerhead_ribozyme from 1 species